GGUCCGUGACUUGCCUCUGGGAAACUUGCAGCGCAGCCUGGUGAGCGAAGUUCGCGCACGUCGACCAGUGCUUCAGGCGCCUGCUGUUCGACCCUAAGCAAGCCGCAGUCCACAAUCCUUUGCCGAACAGCUAUGGCUUUGGCGACGCCUGCUGGUGCCAUCGGAGGACGCCGAUGAACCCGCACGUCAAGUGCAAGUUCUGGAGAUUUCAGUGUAGGAAGAAAACCGCGUGGCUGCCCUGUUUUCAAUUCGCUGCAAAGCUUAUAGAGUGAUAUCAAUGGUGUGUUCUGAUGUAAUCGUGCGAUUAGUCCUUGUCCAAGUUGGUAAUGCUACUCAGCGAGAUAGAUGGUAGACGAUCGCCAUAAUUAAAAAUUUAUAACUUGAACUGAAAAAUAUGGACAAAAAAGGAUUACUCUAGCCAUCGUUUUGAUGUCACCUUGUGAUUCAUUGAUCUUUCGUCGAUAAUCAAGUAGCGAUUUGUAAAGUAUACCGAGGACGCAAACAUAAUUUGUCAUGAUUAUUUUAGUGGUAGCUUCUGUAGUGAAUUCGCAAGCGGCUUCGAUAUGCCUUAAAUUUCAAAUAGAGGUUGGAGUCAAAGUAGGAUCGAAGCUUGUGAUGAAAAAAAAUUGUUAACAGAGGUUCACGAUGCGCUGGCAGUGAACAAGCAGAGUUGAAGGCGAGUCCACUCUUCAAAGCUUUGCCUCCCCCACACAGAGUUUAUUUACAAAUAUUGACUGCUGAAGCAGCACAAAUGAAUGUAUUGCUAGUUGGUGUUCUGAAUAUGGCUUCAUCGCAUGAGUGCCCAAUAAAAGGCUUUCGAUUCGUUGUGUUACAAGGUCAUGUUUUUAACUGCCGAUCUUAUUCUGUAAUAAAUUCGCCGUAGGUGCUGCG